UUGCCCCGUAGCUCAACUGGCAGAGCAGCGCAUUGUUAAUGCGCGGGUUGCAGGUUCGAUCCCUGCCGGGGUAGCCC
rnacentral:tRNA from 1 species